GAUGAACGCUGGCGGCGUGCCUAAUACAUGCAAGUCGAGCGAAUGGAUUAAGAGCUUGCUCUUAUGAAGUUAGCGGCGGACGGGUGAGUAACACGUGGGUAACCUGCCCAUCAGACUGGGAUAACUCCGGGAAACCGGAGCUAAUACCGGAUAUCAUUUUGAACCGCAUGGUUCGAAAUUGAAAGGCGGCUGCUGCUGUCACUUAAGGAUGGACCCGCGUCGCAUUAGCUAGUUGGUGAGGUAACGGCUCACCAAGGCAACGAUGCGUAGCCGACCUGGGAGGGUGAUCGGCCACACUGGGACUGAGACACGGCCCAGACUCCUACGGGAGGCAGCAGUAGGGAAUCUUCCGCAAUGGACGAAAGUCUGACGGAGCAACGCCGCGUGAGUGAUGAAGGCUUUCGGGUCGUAAAACUCUGUUGUUAGGGAAGAACAAGUGCUAGUUGAAUAAGCUGGCACCUUGACGGUACCUAACCGGAAAGCCACGGCUAACUACGUGCCAGCCGCCGCAGUAA
rnacentral:rRNA from 1 species